rnacentral:rRNA from 1 species
GCACGCUCGUUCAUAUUCAUUCUCUCUUGUGCACCUUUAGCUAGACUAUGAAUACCUCUCGAGUGAAAAUCUCGGAUUGAGGGCUGCGCUUGACCGUGCUUCCCUUGCAUUUUCAUAGUCUAUGUCUUCAUAUACCCUUUGUAUGUCUUUGAAUGUCUUUUUUGUGGGUCUUUGACCUAUAAAAUCUAGUACAACUUUCAACAACGGAUCUCUUGGCUCUCGCAUCGAUGAAGAACGCAGCGAAAUGCGAUAAGUAAUGUGAAUUGCAGAAUUCAGUGAAUCAUCGAAUCUUUGAACGCACCUUGCACCCUUUGGUAUUCCGAAGGGUAUGCCUGUUUGAGUGUCAUUAUAUUCUCAACCAUUGAACUUGUUUCUCUGGCUUGGAUGUGGGGGUUGCGGGCUUCGCAAGAGGUCGGCUCUCCUUAAAUGCAUUAGUGGAAACCGCUUGCAGGAUUCAUUCACUUUUUGGCGUGAUAGUAUCGUCGUCAAAGGUAGUGUCUCCGAGGUAUCUGCUUUCUAACUGUCCUUUACGGGACUCUUAAUGACUUGUUUGACCUCAAAUCAGGUAGGACUACCCGCUGAACUUAAGCAUAUCAAUAAGCGGAGGAAAAGAAACUAACAAGGAUUCCCCUAGUAACUGCGAGUGAAGAGGGAAAAGCUCAAAUUUAAAAUCUGGCAGUCAUAUGGCUGUCCGAGUUGUAAUUUAG